rnacentral:rRNA from 1 species
GAUGAACGCUGACAGAAUGCUUAACACAUGCAAGUCGUUGGCGAAGCUGUGCUUGCACCGCCUAGCCAAGGCGGACGGGUGAGUAACGCGUAAGGGACUUGCCCUGCAGUCAGGGAUAACAGACGGAAACGACUGAUAAGACCUGGUAAAGUGAGGCGGACUCAUGUCCAGCCUGAUGAAAAGAGAUGCUGCCGGAGAGCCUUGCGUCCUAUUAGCUUGUUGGUGGGGUGACGGCCCACCAAGGCGAUGAUAGGUAGCCGGCCUGAGAGGGUGGACGGCCACAAGGGGACUGAGAUACGGCCCUUACUCCUACGGGAGGCAGCAGUGGGGAAUAUUGGACGACGGGGGCAACCCUGAUCCAGCAAUUCUGUGUGCACGAUGAAGGUUUUCGGAUUGUAAAGUGCUUUCAGCAGGGAAGAAAAAAAUGACGGUACCUGCAGAAGAAGCGACGGCUAAAUACGUG